GUGAAACGAAUAUCUCUGUGUAGGUCUAUGCAGUGUUGAAUAUGUUUUUCAUUUCUUUCAGCCUGUAUGUUGUUCGACAUUGCAGCAUGCUGAUGAGUUAAUAAAGAGGCAACAAAAACCUGGGAUCUGCAUUGGCCCUGUCAAGUCUGGAGAGUGUUUUUACCGUUUAAUGAAUUAAAUUGUAAUAAAAGUUUUUAAAUGGA